rnacentral:rRNA from 1 species
GCCUCGUGAAUUCAUCUCCGGGGGUAGAGCACUGUUUCGGCAAGGGGGUCAUCCCGACUUACCAACCCGAUGCAAACUGCGAAUACCGGAGAAUGUUAUCACGGGAGACACACGGCGGGUGCUAACGUCCGUCGUGAAGAGGGAAACAACCCAGACCGCCAGCUAAGGUCCCAAAGUCAUGGUUAAGUGGGAAACGAUGUGGGAAGGCCCAGACAGCCAGGAUGUUGGCUUAGAAGCAGCCAUCAUUUAAAGAAAGCGUAAUAGCUCACUGGUCGAGUCGGCCUGCGCGGAAGAUGUAACGGGGCUAAACCAUG